UUUUGUACAGAUUUGAAAGUUGGUUAGCUAAUAAGUCGACCGGAUAUAUUUGAGGGUGCAGCUGUGAUUCUUGUUGUCGACCGAGCACCCUAUACGGUGAUGGUUUAGUAUCGAUUUCGUAAUGACAGAAAAUACUUGAGGUUUCAGCUGUGAUUUUUGUCGUUGAUGGGGCGAGAUAUAACGUGACGAUUUUGCAUCAAUGACUUUCGGGAUGUAAGGUGAUGAUUUUGCUAGUUUUGCAUCAAUGACUUUUGCAGCGACGUGACAGCCAAUAUUUGUUUGAUAGUUCUUCAUGUUUUCUCGAAUAUACGGUUAUGGUUUAGUAUCGAUUGCGUAAUGACAGAACAUACUUGAGGUUUCAGCCGUGAUUUUUGUCAUUGAUGGGGCGAGAUAUAACGUGACGAUUUUGCAUCAAUGACUUUCGGGAUGUAAGGUUCUUGCAGGAAGCUAUUUUUCUGUGGCAGGAGCAGUCGUGGGCUUAUUAAAACCUGGGAGGAUGAGCAUGUUUGGAACACUUUUGGUAAUAUGGGGCCUUGUGAAGUAAGGGAUCCUAGGAAAGCCCGCAAAUAUAGAUCCUGCUAAAGCUAUUUAUGUCUAUCCAACAAUGUUGCUUGCCUUGAUCUGUGCCUUCUCUUCUGUGAAGUAUGAUGCGAAGAAGGCUGUGAGAAGUGCCCCUGCUAGACCCAUUGCAAAGCCUCUGCACAACUCUUCAAAGUCCAAACUGAAAUGAGUUGAUUGCCUGUAAUCUUUUUGUAAUUUUAUUUUUUUAAUCUUAGAAAUUUCACAUUGGUUGAUGAGUUGAACUUGAAGCUGUAUGUGUUUCUGCCAAAAUCAAUUUUGAACAGAAAAACUGAUAUUAGUAUUAACUCACGAAUAUGUUGAUAUUAAUCAAUCAGUUAAUCUUCCUUUUGAGCAUGUU